AUUGAACGCUGGCGGCAUGACCUAACACAUGCAAGUCGAACGGUAACGACGGAAGCUUGCUUCCGGGCGACGAGUGGCGGACGGGUGAGUAACACUUAGGAAUCUGCCCAGUAGUGGGGGACAACCGAGGAGAAAUCCUGGCUAAUCCGCAUACGCACUACGGUGGAAAGUGGGGGACCUUCGGGCCUCACGCUAUUGGAUGAGCCUAAGUCGGAUUAGCUUGUUGGUGAGGUAAAGGCUCACCAAGGCGACGAUCCGUAGCUGGUCUGAGAGGACGAUCAGCCACACUGGGACUGAGACACGGCCCAGACUCCUACGGGAGGCAGCAGUGGGGAAUAUUGGACAAUGGGGGCAACCCUGAUCCAGCAAUGCCGCGUGUGUGAAGAAGGCCUGCGGGUUGUAAAGCACUUUCAGUAGAGAAGAAAAGCCUAGGGAUAAUACCCCUGAGUCUUGACGUAACCUACAGAAGAAGCACCGGCUAACUCCGUG
rnacentral:rRNA from 1 species